AAGUCGUAACAAGGUUUCCGUAGGUGAACCUGCGGAAGGAUCAUUCAUAGUAAGUGUUUAUGGCACUUCUUAAAUCCAUAUCCACCUUGUGUGCAAUGUCAGUCGUUUUCUUUAAGGAAUCGACCAAACAUCAACUUAUUAUUUUAACUAUCUGUCUGAAAACUAUUAUGAAUAAAAAAUUCAAAUACAACUUUCAACAACGGAUCUCUUGGCUCUCGCAUCGAUGAAGAACGCAGCGAAAUGCGAUACGUAAUGUGAAUUGCAGAAUUCAGUGAAUCAUCGAAUCUUUGAACGCAUAUUGCGCUCUUUGGUAUUCCGAAGAGCAUGCUUGUUUGAGUAUCAGUAAACACCUCAAAGCCUUUAAUUCAGUUUGGAAGCUUUGGACUUGAGCAAUCCCAACACUAGUCUCGCGACUGGCGGAGGGUUGCUUGAAAUGCAGGUGCAGCUGGACAUUCUCCUGAGCUAUAAGCAUAUUUAUUUAGUCCCGUCAAACGGAUUAUUACUUUUGCUGCAGCUAACAUAAAGGGAGUUUGACCGCAUUGGCUGACUGAUGCAGGAUUUCACAAGGGCUGGCAACAGCUUUCUUGUAAAACUCGAUCUCAAAUCAAGUAAGACUACCGCUGAACUUAAGCAUAUCAAUAAGCGGAGGAAAAGAAACUAACAAGGAUUCCCUAGUAACGGCGAGUGAAGCGGGAUGAGCUCAAAUUUAAAAUCUGGCUGGUUUACUAGUCCGAAUUGUAGUUUAUAGAAGCGUUUUCGGUGGCAGCCUGGGUAUAAAUCCUUUGGAAUAGGGUAUCAUAGAGGGUGAGAAUCCCGUCUUUGACUCAGUGCAUGCUACUAUGUGAUACGUUUUCAAAGAGUCGAGUUGUUUGGGAAUGCAGCUCAAAAUGGGUGGUAAAUUUCAUCUAAAGCUAAAUAUUGGCGAGAGACCGAUAGCGAACAAGUACCGUGAGGGAAAGAUGAAAAGAACUUUGAAAAGAGAGUUAAACAGUGCGUGAAAUUGUUGAAAGGGAAACGCUUGACACCAGUUAUGCGGGUGGAAAAUCAGUCUUUUGCAAUGGGGAGUUGUGGGCGUUCAGACCGUAAGGCUGGCGUUUGCUUCAUCUUUGUUGUAAGUGAUGCACUUUUUCAUUUGCAGGUCAACAUCAGUUUGCUCUGCUGGACAAAACUCCAAGGGAAGGUGGCAGCUUAGGCUGUGUUAUAGCCCUGGAGCGAUACAGUGGAGUGGACUGAGGUUUCGCAGUGUGUGCUUUCGGGCAAGGCUGACUGGGUGCUAUGAGAUCGUUCGGCGUACAAUGCAUGCAUUUUGCGUCGUGUCUUUUUUAUACUCGCUCAACUCGGCUCUUCCACGCUUAGGAUGUUGACUUAAUGGUUUUAAUCGACC
rnacentral:rRNA from 1 species